rnacentral:rRNA from 1 species
GACAAACGCUGGCGGCGUGCCUAAUACAUGCAAGUCGAGCGAGUCUGCCUUGAAGAUCGGAGUGCUUGCACUCUGUGAAACAAGAUACAGGCUAGCGGCGGACGGGUGAGUAACACGUGGGUAACCUGCCCAAGAGAUCGGGAUAACACCUGGAAACAGAUGCUAAUACCGGAUAACAACAGAUGAUGCCUAUCAACUGUUUAAAAGAUGGUUCUGCUAUCACUCUUGGAUGGACCUGCGGUGCAUUAGCUAGUUGGUAGGGUAACGGCCUACCAAGGCGAUGAUGCAUAGCCGAGUUGAGAGACUGAUCGGCCACAUUGGGACUGAGACACGGCCCAAACUCCUACGGGAGGCAGCAGUAGGGAAUCUUCCACAAUGGACGCAAGUCUGAUGGAGCAACGCCGCGUGAGUGAAGAAGGGGUUCGGCUCGUAAAGCUCUGUUGUUGGUGAAGAAGGACAGGGGUAGUAACUGACCUUUGUUUGACGGUAAUCAAUUAGAAAGUCACGGCUAACUACGUG